CCAGAGGCUGGCCUCAAACUCAAAACAAUUCCCUCUCCUGAGUCUUCCAAGUACUAGGAUUACCGUGUGAGCCACCUAUAUUAUGUCGUGAGUGAACACCAAGCACAGCAGCUAAGCAAGUGUUAUAAAUGAAUGCUAUUUCAUCUUAGAGAACGGUUUUAGGUCCACAGCCAAACUGGAGUAUAGUUCCCCUAUCCCUACCGUAGCGUGGCCUCUACCUAGACUCAGCGUCAGUGGGUUUUGUUUGUUUCUAUUAUUUAGACAGGAUCUCCACGUAUAGCCUAGGCUAGCCUUCAACUUACUCUGUAAUUCAGGCAAGCCUUGCUAUGUAUUAUAAUGCUAAGUGUGGGCCCCCAAGACCUGUCCUCCAGAGACGAGAGAGUCCCUAUGUGACCUUGACAUCCAAGUUAUUUCUGAUUGGUAAAUAAAGAUGCCUACAGCCUAUAGCUGGGCAGAAUUGAGAUAGGUAGGGCUUGAUGUUCCCACCCUCAGGGGAAGUGGAAGAAGAAGGGAAAGGAAGAGAAAGACACUGUGGGUUAGGAGUCAAGGAAACAUGGCCCUGAGGGCUGGCCAAUACGAGUUAAGAGCAGCCCAGAUGACAUAGUAAGUAAUAACUCAGGGUUAUUGAUAGGAAAGUAGAGUCUAAUAGCAUAGAGGGCAGAUAUCUGCCCAGCUCUCGAGCUGUUUAAGGCUUAUUGUAAAUAUAAAAGAUGUGUGUCUUUUACUUGGGAACUGAAUAAUCCAAAGUGGGGUACAAAUCCUGGGUUGGGAUUAAAAAUUUCUACAAAAACAGUCUUCCUGCCUUAGCCUUCCCCAUGCUGAGAUUAACAGGCAUGUAUCACCAUGCCAACAAACAUGUCUUUCUGCUUGCUUGGGUUUUUUGGGGGUGGGAUAGGGGAGUAUUGUUUGCUGUACAGAAAACCAGAUCACUCUUGGUAUUAGACAGUCUUUGGGCUUUAUUGAAAGA
rnacentral:lncRNA from 1 species